rnacentral:lncRNA from 1 species
GUCUGACUGGACCGUCGCUGGCUUGCAGAGGGUGCUACAGAACCGCGAAAUCCAUUUCGCCCGCUCACACCACACUGUUCAGAUCCUCGGCCGCUUGGUGGAUAUCCACUUAGAGGUCAGAAGGGUGGGAAGAAGUGAGCCUCCUCUUUCAUCUGCCAAUAUAAAGCAGCUGGAGACAAUGGAGGAACAAUGCCUCAAGGACAAGCAAUCUUUGGAAUCCCUGGUAUGAUUUGCAAGUGAUAUGUUCUGUGUCAUUUAUCAGUAUUAUUUGGGUAUAUGUCAGUAAAAAUGUUAUAGCUACUGUUCUUUCAACAUUGACAGUAAUUUCACCCUUUCAUUUCAAGGUGUUACAACUUGCAAGAAUUGGUGGGAAAGAUGUAAGAGACUGUGUCCACAAAAUUCUUGACAGGCUCUUCACCAACCGGUUAAGUGCAAAGUUCAAUAUGAAGGAGAAAGGGAAGAAGCAGAAACUGCCUCUGGAGACAACAAAAAUAUAUGAAGCAAGAGAUAUUCAGCAUUUUCCAUUUAAUAUUUAAUAGCUUUAUUUUCUAUUCAUAUUUAGUACCUCAACUUUUUUUUCAUUAUGAACAUUUUCUAAAUGUAAAGUCAGUGGUUUAGCAAAAAUCUCAACUGAUUGAAUGCUCAAUUGAUGGAAUUUUAUUAAUGAAAGUUAAUGUUUUGUUGAAUGAGAAUAUUGGAAUCAGUGGGUCAAGCUGCAAACUAUAUUGUACAAAUGUACAUCAUCCUUGACCACUUGAUAUGAUAAUAUAGACUGGAGCAGCGUUUAUAUUACUUUCAUUUAAAUCCAUAAGAUAAUUAGAUGUUUGGAAGGAAUACCUUAUUUUUUCACACAUCUUAAAGAUUUUUGUGUCUGAUGAGUUGUUUUAUUUUGUAGUGGCAGAUGUAUCUAUGCAGGUUCUUUUAAUGUGUGACUCUUCACUGAAAGUCACCAUUUUUUGCAGUCUUAUCCCUUUCCAGAAUGCACUUUAUUGAUUUAAGUGAACUCCUGUCACGGCCUCGUUUAAAAUGGGCCAAAAUAACCCUUAACCCAAUUUAAAAAAAACUAUACACCUUGGGGAUCAG